GACGAACGCUGGCGGCGUGCUUAACACAUGCAAGUCGAACGGAAAGGCCCUGCUUUUGUGGGGUGCUCGAGUGGCGAACGGGUGAGUAACACGUGAGUAACCUGCCCUUGACUUUGGGAUAACUUCAGGAAACUGGGGCUAAUACCGGAUAGGAGCUCCUGCUGCAUGGUGGGGGUUGGAAAGUUUCGGCGGCUGGGGAUGGACUCGCGGCUUAUCAGCUUGUUGGUGGGGUAGUGGCUUACCAAGGCUUUGACGGGUAGCCGGCCUGAGAGGGUGACCGGCCACAUUGGGACUGAGAUACGGCCCAGACUCCUACGGGAGGCAGCAGUGGGGAAUAUUGCACAAUGGGCGGAAGCCUGAUGCAGCAACGCCGCGUGCGGGAUGACGGCCUUCGGGUUGUAAACCGCUUUCGCCUGUGACGAAGCGUGAGUGACGGUAAUGGGUAAAGAAGCACCGGCUAACUACGUG
rnacentral:rRNA from 1 species